UGAGCGGGCUGUUCCUCUCAUACAUAGAUAAUAGAAGAAUGGAUAGGCCAAUCAUAUAUUAACAAUACAAGGGGUCGCGGUCCGGAAUGUGGAUGAGAGAUAGACUGCUUUUAUAUAGUGCACUCACUUUAGCAAGGGGUUUUAUCAUUAGUUUUAUUUCAUAAUGAUAAUAGAAGAUAUCUAUGAUGAUAACAAAUAUUUUUAUUGUUAACGCAUUUUAUUUAAAAAUUAUUUAACAUUUUUACAAAUUGAAGUAUUCAUGAUUCUGUACGAAUUAUCAUUUGUCUUCAAGCUAUGGUUCGUACUUGCAUUGUUUGUCAUGUAUCCUCUAAAGAUAAUACAGGCAACGUAUCAUUUCAUUUAAGUCGUGUCACUCGUGUGUGAUUCGUAUUUCGUGCUGUACUCGCCUGUACUGCUGUUGUCCGUAGUGUUUUCGUUUGUAGUUUCGUGUUCAAUUAUUCUGUUUUAAAAUGUCACAAAAACGACAAAGUGAAAUAAACUUUUU